rnacentral:sRNA from 1 species
UAACACAUGCAAGAUCGUACGAGAAAUCCUGAGCAAUCGGGAGAGUAAAGUGGCUCACCGGUGAGUAACGCAGUGGGUAAUCUACCCUAAAGUUAGGAAUAACACCUCGAAAGGGGUGCUAAUACCAAAUGACAUCCCUGGAACCCCGGUUCCGGGGAUCAAAGAUGGCUGAGGCUUGCAAGCUAUCCCUUUGGGAUGAGCCCGCGUACCAUUAGCUAGUUGGUGGGGUAAUGGCCCACCAAGGCCAUGAUGGUUAGCUGGUCUGAGAGGAUGGCCAGCCACACUGGAACUGAGACACGGUCCAGACUCCUACGGGAGGCAGCAGUGGG